GUAGGUGGCAAGCGUUGUCCGGAAUUAUUGGGCGUAAAGCGCGCGCAGGCGGUUCGUUUAAGUCUGAUGUGAAAGCCCACGGGCUCAACCGUGGAGGGUCAUUGGAAACUGGAGAACUUGAGUACAGAAGAGGAAAGCGGAAUUCCACGUGUAGCGGUGAAAUGCGUAGAGAUGUGGAGGAACACCAGUGGCGAAGGCGGCUUUCUGGUCUGUAACUGACGCUGAGGCGCGAAAGCGUGGGGGAGCAAACAGGAUUAGAUACCCUGGUAGUCCACGCCGUAAACGAUGAGUGCUAAGUGUUAGGGGGGUUUCCGCCCCUUAGUGCUGCAGCUAACGCAUUAAGCACUCCGCCUGGGGAGUACGGCCGCAAGGCUG
rnacentral:rRNA from 1 species